rnacentral:rRNA from 1 species
GGUUAAGCGACUAAGCGUACACGGUGGAUGCCCUGGCAGUCAGAGGCGAUGAAGGACGUGCUAAUCUGCGAUAAGCGUCGGUAAGGUGAUAUGAACCGUUAUAACCGGCGAUUUCCGAAUGGGGAAACCCAGUGUGUUUCGACACACUAUCAUUAACUGAAUCCAUAGGUUAAUGAGGCGAACCGGGGGAACUGAAACAUCUAAGUACCCCGAGGAAAAGAAAUCAACCGAGAUUCCCCCAGUAGCGGCGAGCGAACGGGGAGCAGCCCAGAGCCUGAAUCAGUGUGUGUGUUAGUGGAAGCGUCUGGAAAGGCGCGCGAUACAGGGUGACAGCCCCGUACACAAAAAUGCACAUGCUGUGAGCUCGAUGAGUAGGGCGGGACACGUGGUAUCCUGUCUGAAUAUGGGGGGACCAUCCUCCAAGGCUAAAUACUCCUGACUGACCGAUAGUGAACCAGUACCGUGAGGGAAAGGCGAAAAGAACCCCGGCGAGGGGAGUGAAAAAGAACCUGAAACCGUGUACGUACAAGCAGUGGGAGCACGCUUAGGCGUGUGACUGCGUACCUUUUGUAUAAUGGGUCAGCGACUUAUAUUCUGUAGCAAGGUUAACCGAAUAGGGGAGCCGAAGGGAAACCGAGUCUUAACUGGGCGUUAAGUUGCAGGGUAUAGACCCGAAACCCGGUGAUCUAGCCAUGGGCAGGUUGAAGGUUGGGUAACACUAACUGGAGGACCGAACCGACUAAUGUUGAAAAAUUAGCGGAUGACUUGUGGCUGGGGGUGAAAGGCCAAUCAAACCGGGAGAUAGCUGGUUCUCCCCGAAAGCUAUUUAGGUAGCGCCUCGUGAAUUCAUCUCCGGGGGUAGAGCACUGUUUCGGCAAGGGGGUCAUCCCGACUUACCAACCCGAUGCAAACUGCGAAUACCGGAGAAUGUUAUCACGGGAGACACACGGCGGGUGCUAACGUCCGUCGUGAAGAGGGAAACAACCCAGACCGCCAGCUAAGGUCCCAAAGUCAUGGUUAAGUGGGAAACGAUGUGGGAAGGCCCAGACAGCCAGGAUGUUGGCUUAGAAGCAGCCAUCAUUUAAAGAAAGCGUAAUAGCUCACUGGUCGAGUCGGCCUGCGCGGAAGAUGUAACGGGGCUAAACCAUGCACCGAAGCUGCGGCAGCGACGCUGAUGCGUUGUUGGGUAGGGGAGCGUUCUGUAAGCCUGCGAAGGUGUGCUGUGAGGCAUGCUGGAGGUAUCAGAAGUGCGAAUGCUGACAUAAGUAACGAUAAAGCGGGUGAAAAGCCCGCUCGCCGGAAGACCAAGGGUUCCUGUCCAACGUUAAUCGGGGCAGGGUGAGUCGACCCCUAAGGCGAGGCCGAAAGGCGUAGUCGAUGGGAAACAGGUUAAUAUUCCUGUACUUGGUGUUACUGCGAAGGGGGGACGGAGAAGGCUAUGUUGGCCGGGCGACGGUUGUCCCGGUUUAAGCGUGUAGGCUGGUUUUCCAGGCAAAUCCGGAAAAUCAAGGCUGAGGCGUGAUGACGAGGCACUACGGUGCUGAAGCAACAAAUGCCCUGCUUCCAGGAAAAGCCUCUAAGCAUCAGGUAACAUCAAAUCGUACCCCAAACCGACACAGGUGGUCAGGUAGAGAAUACCAAGGCGCUUGAGAGAACUCGGGUGAAGGAACUAGGCAAAAUGGUGCCGUAACUUCGGGAGAAGGCACGCUGAUAUGUAGGUGAAGUCCCUCGCGGAUGGAGCUGAAAUCAGUCGAAGAUACCAGCUGGCUGCAACUGUUUAUUAAAAACACAGCACUGUGCAAACACGAAAGUGGACGUAUACGGUGUGACGCCUGCCCGGUGCCGGAAGGUUAAUUGAUGGGGUUAGCGCAAGCGAAGCUCUUGAUCGAAGCCCCGGUAAACGGCGGCCGUAACUAUAACGGUCCUAAGGUAGCGAAAUUCCUUGUCGGGUAAGUUCCGACCUGCACGAAUGGCGUAAUGAUGGCCAGGCUGUCUCCACCCGAGACUCAGUGAAAUUGAACUCGCUGUGAAGAUGCAGUGUACCCGCGGCAAGACGGAAAGACCCCGUGAACCUUUACUAUAGCUUGACACUGAACAUUGAGCCUUGAUGUGUAGGAUAGGUGGGAGGCUUUGAAGUGUGGACGCCAGUCUGCAUGGAGCCGACCUUGAAAUACCACCCUUUAAUGUUUGAUGUUCUAACGUUGACCCGUGAUCCGGGUUGCGGACAGUGUCUGGUGGGUAGUUUGACUGGGGCGGUCUCCUCCUAAAGAGUAACGGAGGAGCACGAAGGUUGGCUAAUCCUGGUCGGACAUCAGGAGGUUAGUGCAAUGGCAUAAGCCAGCUUGACUGCGAGCGUGACGGCGCGAGCAGGUGCGAAAGCAGGUCAUAGUGAUCCGGUGGUUCUGAAUGGAAGGGCCAUCGCUCAACGGAUAAAAGGUACUCCGGGGAUAACAGGCUGAUACCGCCCAAGAGUUCAUAUCGACGGCGGUGUUUGGCACCUCGAUGUCGGCUCAUCACAUCCUGGGGCUGAAGUAGGUCCCAAGGGUAUGGCUGUUCGCCAUUUAAAGUGGUACGCGAGCUGGGUUUAGAACGUCGUGAGACAGUUCGGUCCCUAUCUGCCGUGGGCGCUGGAGAACUGAGGGGGGCUGCUCCUAGUACGAGAGGACCGGAGUGGACGCAUCACUGGUGUUCGGGUUGUCAUGCCAAUGGCACUGCCCGGUAGCUAAAUGCGGAAGAGAUAAGUGCUGAAAGCAUCUAAGCACGAAACUUGCCCCGAGAUGAGUUCUCCCUGACCCUUUAAGGGUCCUGAAGGAACGUUGAAGACGACGACGUUGAUAGGCCGGGUGUGUAAGCGCAGCGAUGCGUUGAGCUAACCGGUACUAAUGAACCGUGAGGCUUAACCUU